rnacentral:rRNA from 1 species
GACGAACGCUGGCGGCGUGCUUAACACAUGCAAGUCGAACGGAAAGGCCCUGCUUUUGUGGGGUGCUCGAGUGGCGAACGGGUGAGUAACACGUGAGUAACCUGCCCUUGACUUUGGGAUAACUUCAGGAAACUGGGGCUAAUACCCGAUAUGAGCUCCUGCUGCAUGGUGGGGUUUGGAAAGUUUCGGCGGUUGGGGAUGGACUCGCGGCUUAUCAGCUUGUUUGUGGGGUAGUGGCUUACCAAGGCUUUGACGGGUAGCCUGCCUGAGAGGGUGACCGGGCACAUGGGGACUGAGAUACGGACCAGACUGCUACGGGAGGCAGCAGUGGGGAAUAUUGCACAAUGGGGGGAAGCGUGAUGCAGAAACGCCGCGUGCGGGAUGAAGGCCUUCGGGUUAUAAACCGCUUUCGCCUGUGACGAAGCGGGAGUGACGGUAAUGGGUAAAGAAGCACCGGCUAACUACGUG